AUUGAACGCUGGCGGCAGGCUUAACACAUGCAAGUCGAGCGGAGCGAGGGUGCUUGCACCUUAGCUUAGCGGCGGACGGGUGAGUAAUGCUUAGGCAUCUGCCUAUUAGUGGGGGACAGCAUUCCGAAAGGAAUGCUAAUACCGCAUACGCCCUACGGGGGAACGCAGGGGAUCUUCGGCCCUUGCGCUGAUAGAUGAGCCUAAGUCGGAUUAGCUAGUUGGUGGGGUAAAGGCCUACCAAGGCGACGAUCUGUAGCGGGUCUGAGAGGAUGAUCCGCCACACUGGGACUGAGACACGGCCCAGACUCCUACGGGAGGCAGCAGUGGGGAAUAUUGGACAAUGGGCGGAAGCCUGAUCCAGCCAUGCCGCGUGUGUGAAGAAGGCCUUUUGGUUGUAAAGCACUUUAAGCGAGGAGGAGGCUCUUAAGGUUGAUACCCUUGUUGAGUGGACGUUAUUCGCAGUAUAAGCACCGGCUAACUCUGUGCCAGCCGCCGCCGUAACAC
rnacentral:rRNA from 1 species